rnacentral:rRNA from 1 species
CAGUCUGCAACUCGACUGCACGAAGCUGGAAUCGCUAGUAAUCGCGGAUCAGCACGCCGCGGUGAAUACGUUCCCGGGCCUUGUACACACCGCCCGUCACACCAUGAGAGUCUGUAACACCCAAAGCCGGUGGGAUAACCUUUAUAGGAGUCAGCCGUCUAAGGUAGGACAGAUGAUUAGGGUGAAGUCGUAACAAGGUAUC